rnacentral:rRNA from 1 species
UUAAUAAUUAUUUAUUAAUUUUAUAAUUUUAUUUAUAUUAUUAUUAUUAAAAAUAAUUAUAAAUUUAAAUGUUUUAGUAUAUUAUAUAAAAAAAAUAAAAUUAUUAAUAGUUUAUUAGUAUUGUAAAAUAAUAUUGAAAUAUAAUGAAAAAUUUUUAUUUUAAAAGAAAAUUUUAUUUAUUGUAUCUUGUGUAUCAGAGUAUAUUAAAUAAAAAAUAAUAAUUUUAUUUUUCUCGAUUUUAAAAGAUUUAAUAAAUUAUAAAAAUUAAUGUAAUAAAAUUAUUUUUAAUAAUUUAUUAGAAAUGAAAUGUUAUUCGUUUUUAAAGGUAUCUAGUUUUUUAAGAAAUAAAUUAAAUUUAGAUUUUUAAAAUUUAUUUAUUUAUUUUUUUUAAUUAAAUAAUUUUUAGAAAUUAAUAUUUUAUGGGAUAAGCUAUAAAAUAAAUUUUUAUAAAUAAUAAAUAUAAUUUAAAUAUUAUAUGUUUAGAAUUAUCAAUUAUUAUUAAAUUUGUUAUAAAUUAAUUUUUAUAAGAAAUUAUUUAUUAUAUUUUAAAUUUUUAUUAAAAUAUUUUUUUUAACAAUAAAAAUAAAAUAAUAAUGAUAUAAUUAGUAUAUUAUAAUUUAUUUAAUUUUUUUAAAAUGAAAAGUUUAUUUAAAGAAUUCGGCAAAAAUAAUAUUCGCCUGUUUAACAAAAACAUGUCUUUUAGAAUUUAAUUUAAAGUCUAACCUGCCCAAUGAUUUUUUUAAUGGCCGCAGUAUUUUAACUGUGCAAAGGUAGCAUAAUCAUUAGUCUUUUAAUUGAAGGCUGGAAUGAAUGGUUGGACGAAAUAUUAACUGUUUCAUUUAAAAUUAUAAUAAAAUUUUAUUUUUUAAUUAAAAAGUUAAAAUUUAAUUAAAAGACGAGAAGACCCUAUAAAUCUUUAUAUAUUUAUUAAUUUUAAUCUUAAAGAUUUUUUUAAUUAUAAUUAAUAAAUAUAUUUUAUUGGGGUGAUAUUAAAAUUUAAUUAACUUUUAAAUAUUUAAAUCAUUAAUUUAUGAAUAAUUGAUCCAAUUAUAUUGAUUAAAAAUUUAAGUUACUUUAGGGAUAACAGCGUAAUUUUUUUGGAGAGUUCAUAUUGAUAAAAAAGAUUGCGACCUCGAUGUUGGAUUAAGAUAUAAUUUUAGGUGUAGCCGUUUAAAUUUAAAGUCUGUUCGACUUUUAAAAUCUUACAUGAUCUGAGUUCAAACCGGUGUAAGCCAGGUUGGUUUCUAUCUUUAAUAAAUUAAAAUAUUUUAGUACGAAAGGAUUAAAUAUUUAAUUAAUAAUAAUUUAAAAAUAAGAAUAUUAUUAAUAAUUUA